rnacentral:lncRNA from 1 species
CUGCUCCCUGCAAGCAUUCAAUCUUCACAUCCAAGGGAAGAAGGAGAAAGUGCCGGGUAGGAGCCCAAACCAAUUUUUUUUUUCAGUGAUUGAGAUGAAAAUAUGCACCCUAGGGGGCCUGACAUAUUUGACUUACAUCUUCUCUCCAACUCUCCCCCUCCACAGAAGUACCUCCCCCAGACCCAAACUUCCUUUGGCUUUACCAAACAUUAGCACAGCUCAGAAGCCCCAAGCCAGCAUCUGUGCCAUAUGUCCUAAGUAAUUGUGUUGAUUUCUGUCUCUGUUAGGGCUCCUGGCAGCGUAAACUGAAACUGGCUCUGACCAUCUUAAGUUCAAACACAGUUUACUGGAAACACAUGGGAGUCCUGCAGAGCAUCAUGAUCACUUGAGAAUCACCCUGCAAAAGAGGUUCCAAGGGCCUAGGCAGGCAGGAGAGGGCCACAAGCUCAUCAGAACAUUAGCAAUGGGAUUAAUUCGCUGUGACAACGCCACCUAUAUUUGUGUCACUGUCGUCUGAAUUCUGGGAGAAAGAGAUGAAUAGGACUUGGUUGGGCCAUGCCCAUACCCCACAACACAGGCUCACUGACUGUGCAAGGUAGUUUAGAUAAGGGGUUAAGAACUGGUUUCUGCAACCAGGUUUGAACCCUCACUCUGCCACUUACAAGCCAUGUGACCUUGAGCAAGCCACUUUUGCUAUGCCCCAGCCUCCUGCUCUGAAGGAGUCAAUUAUCCUCGUGACUGCACAGGGCAAGGGUCCUGCAGGUCCUGACACUAGUAUUCUACUGCAUGGGCAGUGCCCCCAGUGCAGGAUUUGCUGGCCAACCAGGAAGGCCGGCCUGAAGAGUCAUUCUCCAAAAUACACCAGGAGCUGCUACCCGGUGAGGCAGAGGGUCAAGCAGCAAUCACUAGGCUGCCACAUCUUCUCCCUCCACCAGGCUGGGAUGCCACGUGGACAGCAGACACUGCUGCUUUCUUUGCUGCCUCCCCCAACACCUGAGCUUCUGGCACGCUGGAUAGGGCUCAGGGAGCCACUGUAGAAUUUGAGAAUGUUCCUGAGCUGUCUUUAUGAGAGAUCAACUACUCCAGGGCUCUGCCCCGAGGAGGCACACAAGAACUACUUGCUGAUGGAAUUGAUAGGAUGGUGGGUGAUGGAAAACCAGGGGAGUGUGAUAUUCUAAAUAAACC